GAGAGUAGGGACAUGGAGCAUUUAUCCGACUCAGAGGAGGAAAGUGUGGAGAGAGAGCUGUUUGAGAAGAGUGGGCAAGGACACAGCCAGCUACAAGGGAGAACCAGGGGAAUAAUAACACCCAUCUCAUUCUCCUCCCUCUCUCCUCAGAUCUCCUUCCAGGACUCUCUCAUGUCCUUCUAGGUCAGACUAUAGAGCAGAAGUAGCAAGAAAAUGAGGAGAGGGGACCUAAAGAUACCAGCAGGUGAGCUGAUAACCAUCCAUUUAGGAGACAGCCUACCCAAGUUCAAUGGAGGAAACUGAAUAUGAAGCAGUAGUUAAAGAAGCAUUAGAAGAGCUGAGUGUACACACAAGUAAUGGGCUUCCCAGUGCUUGAACAAACUGGAAGACGCUCAUUUGGAAGCAGCCUGAGAAAUAUGGCUUGCUAAGGCCAGGUACUAACAGCAUGGAAUGGGAAGAAAGAAAGAGAGAGAUGGAACUCCUACCUUUUGUGACAACAUGAAUGGAACUGGAUAAUAUUAAUCUAAGUGAAAUAAGCCAGCUGAUGAAAGACAAAUACCAUAUGAUCUCACCUAUAAGUGGACUCUUCAACAAAAUAAACUAACAAGCAAAAUAAACCAUAGGCAUGGAAACAUGGAGCCAACUGAAAGUGACCAGAGGGGAUGGGGAAAGAGGACAAUGGUGGAAAGAAGCAGAAGGGACUAGAUAAAGAACAUGUAUGAAUGACCCAUGGAUGUGGACAACAGA